AGCGAACGCUGGCGGCAGGCUUAACACAUGCAAGUCGAACUAGGCAACGGGUGAGUAACGCGUGGGAACGUACCUUUUGGUUCGGAACAACCCAGGGAAACUUGUGCUAAUACCGGACCGAAAGAUCGGCCCGCGUCUGAUUAGCUAGUUGGUGAGGUAAUGGCUCACCAAGGCGACGAUCAGUAGCUGGUCUGAAGGAUGAUCAGCCACAUUGGGACUGAGACACGGCCCAAACUCCUGCGGAAGGCAGCAGUGGGGAAUAUUGGAGAUGGGGGCAACCUGAUCCAGCCAGGCCGCGUGAGUGAUUAAGGCCGGAGGGUUGUAAAGCUGUUUUGUACGGGAAGCGGUACCGCAAGAAUAAGCCCCGGCUAACUUCGUGCCAGCAGCCGCGGUAAUAC
rnacentral:rRNA from 1 species